AGCCAUGCACCACCUGUCUCUGCGCUCCCGAAGGCACUCCCUCGUUUCCAGGGAUUCGCAGGAUGUCAAACCCUGGUAAGGUUCUUCGCGUUGCAUCGAAUUAAACCACAUACUCCACCGCUUGUGCGGGCCCCCGUCAAUUCCUUUGAGUUUCACACUUGCGUGCGUACUCCCCAGGCGGAACACUUAACGCGUUGGCUACGACACCGAGGGGGUCGAUUCCCCCGACACCUAGUGUUCAUCGUUUACGGCCAGGACUACAGGGGUAUCUAAUCCCUUUCGCUCCCCUGGCUUUCGUCCAUGAGCGUCAGUUAUGGCCCAGCAGAGCGCCUUCGCCACUGGUGUUCUUCCCGAUAUCUACGCAUUUCACCGCUACACCGGGAAUUCCCUCUGCCCCUACCACACUCUAGCCUUGCAGUUUCCAUCGCUUAAAUGGAGUUAAGCUCCACGCUUUGACGACAGACUUACAAGGCCGCCUGCGGACGCUUUACGCCCAAUAAUUCCGGAUAACGCUUGCCACUCCCGUAUUACCGCGGCUGCUGGCACGGAAUUAGCCGUGGCUUAUUCAUCAAGUACCGUCAGAUCUUCUUCCUUGAUAAAAGAAGUUUACAGCCCAGAGGCCUUCAUCCCUCACGCGGCGUUGCUCCGUCAGGCUUUCGCCCAUUGCGGAAAAUUCCCCA
rnacentral:rRNA from 1 species